rnacentral:rRNA from 1 species
UACGUAGGGUGCAAGCGUUGUCCGGAAUUAUUGGGCGUAAAGAGCUCGUAGGCGGUUUGUUGCGUCGGCUGUGAAAUCCCGAGGCUCAACCUCGGGUCUGCAGUCGAUACGAGCAAACUAGAGUGUUGCAGGGGAGACUGGAAUUCCUGGUGUAGCGGUGAAAUGCGCAGAUAUCAGGAGAAACACCGGUGGCGAAGGCGGGUCUCUGGGCAACAACUGACGCUGAGGAGCGAAAGCGUGGGGAGCGAACAGG